AUAUAAAGUGGCGCACGGGUGAGUAACACGUAGGUAAUUUGCCUUUGGGUGGGGAAUAACUUGUGGAAACGCAAGCUAAUACCGCAUAAUGCAGCGGCAUCGAAAGAUGACAGUUGUUAAAGAUUUAUCGCCUGAAGAGAAGCCUGCGGCAGAUUAGGUAGUUGGUAAGGUAAUGGCUUACCAAGCCUGCGAUCUGUAUCCGGUCUAAGAGGACGGUCGGACACACUGACACUGAAUAACGGGUCAGACUCCUACGGGAGGCAGCAGUCGGGAAUUUUGGGCAAUGGGCGCAAGCCUGACCCAGCAACGCCGCGUGAAGGAUGAAGUAUUUCGGUAUGUAAACUUCGGAAGAAUGGGAAGAAUAAAUGACGGUACUAUUUGUAAGGUCCGGCUAACUACGUGCCAGCAGCCGCGGUAAUACGUAGGGACCAAGCGUUGUUCGGAUUUACUGGGCGUAAAGGGCGCGUAGGCGGCAAUUCAAGUCAUCUGUGAAAUCUCCGAGCUUAACUCGGAACGGUCAGAUGAUACUGCUUUGCUAGAGUGCAGAAGGGGCAACUGGAAUUCUCGGUGUAGCGGUGAAAUGCGUAAAUAUCGAGAGGAACACCUGCGGCGAAGGCGGGUUGCUGGGCUGACACUGACGCUGAG
rnacentral:rRNA from 1 species